AGCAAGGUGAUUGGAAACCGAACAGACGUAUCUUAGAAAUAGCACGUAACUAAAACUGACUCUACAGUCUGUUGACCCUUUAAAUGUCCGUACACACAUGGAAGAAUACGAUAUAAUAUAAAACAUUUCAUGUGCAUCACUGUUUUAAAUGGUCUGUUUUUAAAAUGCUUUAUCGAUUGUAGUUAAUAAGUAAUGAAGAAUAACAAGGUAAUGAAGAUAAUAUUCUCAUAUUUCGAUUAAGCAAAAUCUCGUGAACUGUCGGUCACAUGAAAAUAACCACAAUCAGCAUGUAUGAAUUAUGUACAAAAAGACACUUAUUUGACAAGUAAUUGAAUUUUCUUAAAUGAACACUGGUCUUAAACACUAAUUGGAGAUAAUUCAGAAAUCUUAUGAGUUUUAUAUAACAGUAACUAAAAGAUAACAAAGGAAAGCCGCUAGGCGAGUCACACCAACACGAGGAGGAUCUGUUUCCAAAAUAUUGCAAAGGAUUCUAUAAUGCAUGUAUACGCGAUUACCCAGAAUCCAAAGGUCUUCAGAUAAUCCAUGAGAUGGUUUGAUCUGGAUGCGCGGCGUCGGGACGCAAGGUUACAGCGGUCGUCGGGUCAGCAACACCACGGCCGCCCUCCUCUCACUCUCUUUCUCCCCGUUCCCUUCCUCACCCUAUAUCAUCCUUCCCUCCCUACGUUCUCCUGCCCUUCCUUCCUUCCUAGCGUCCCACCCCUCUCAACCAGCUAGUUAGCCAGCCCUUCCUCUCGAUCUUUCUCCUUUAUUUAUCCUCCCGUUUCCGUGUCAUGAUGCGCCAUCUUUUGUGAACCCAUAGAGAUUAUUUUUAACAAUUAUUGGGCGAAAUAUAUGGGAUAAUAUAUUAAUAAGUAUCUAUAAUUUUAUUAGCUAUUACGAAUAUAUAUUACGAAUAUAUUUAUCAGAUUAAUAAAUAAUAAUACAUAAAUUGAUUAAUACUUAAGUAAGCUUAUAAGAUUUAAUUUCAAACAAAGGAAAUCAUCGACAAUCUUUCCCCCCUAGUGAUAAAUUCUUGUUUGUUACUAGGUCAAACUCUCUAUUUUUUUUAUUAAUUUUUCAGAUUUAAAUUUGUAUAAAAUAUAUGCACAAAUAAAAAUAAAUAUUGAUGUAAAUGAAUAUACGAUAAAAACGAAUAUAUUGUUGUAAUAUGAUUUAUUAUUACAACAUUACUAGACAAUAAAAAAAGUUCAAUUCAA